UACGUAGGGUGCGAGCGUGUCCGGAAUUAUUGGGCGUAAAGAGCUCGUAGGCGGUGUGUCACGUCGUUCGUGAAAACCUGCAGCUUAACUGUGGGCGUGCGGUCGAUACGGGCAUCACUGGAGUUCGGCAGGGGAGACUGGGAAUUCCUGGUGUAGCGGUGAAAUGCGCAGAUAUCAGGAGGAACACCGGUGGCGAAGGCGGGUCUCUGGGCCGAUACUGACGUGAGACGCGAAAGCGUGGGGAGCGAACAGG
rnacentral:rRNA from 1 species